CGCACUGAAAGAUGCAGUCA
rnacentral:misc_RNA from 1 species